rnacentral:tRNA from 1 species
GCCCCGUUGGCUCAGUGGUAAAGCGUAUCACUAGUAACACACAUCGCAAUGAUAAGAUCACUGGUUCGAUUCCAGUACGGGGCA